rnacentral:rRNA from 1 species
UACCAGCACCCCGAGUGGUCGGGACGUUUUAUUGGGCCUAAAGCAUCCGUAGCCGGUUCUACAAGUCUUCCGUUAAAUACCACCUGCUUAACAGAUGGGCUGCGGAAGAUACUAUAGAGCUAGGAGGCGGGAGAGGCAAGCGGUACUCGAUGGGUAGGGGUAAAAUCCGUUGAUCCAUUGAAGACCACCAGUGGCGAAGGCGGCUUGCCAGAACGCGCUCGACGGUGAGGGAUGAAAGCUGGGGGAGCAAACCGGG